GUCUCUCUGGGGGUAUUUGUCACUACCCGCUAUUGCUUUGUUUGGGUGGGGAAGUGGCCGUGUUGUUCGAGCUGACGUUUUACUACUCCCCUCUCCCUCGCAGUUGGGAGUCGGAAGGCGGAUUUGUUGAGUUAGCAUUAAAAGGGUGAGGAGGGGGGUGAACGAGAGCCAGCCCUGUGCAAUCUACAAACUCUAUUGUGACGCACUUACUACAACUGAUUGCUGCUGCCAAACCUCCUCCAGACUUGCUGUGAUCAGCACAUUAGAUAGAACAAUGGGGCUGGAACAGGGAACAUGGCCAGGAGGCUCUGCACAAUCACUGCAAAUACUCCUCACUCUUGCAUUUCAGCACAGUAUCCGAUUCUUUUAUUUAAUCACUUGGGGAAAUCAGAGCUUAUUGCUCUUUUUUUAAAAUUAACAGACUCAAAACUUCAUAUAGAUUUGGAGCAUAACUGGAGCACAAUGGCCUGGCUGAUAAAUUUCACUUUAAAACCCAAUUCCUUUUGUUUGGACAAAGACUUCUCACAAGUUAUACUUUUGAUGCAGGUAUCCUAGGAGGGGCGGAAACAGUGGACAGGAAACUACCCAUAGAUCUGAUAGCAGUUGAUUGUAUUUGGGUGGGGGGGGGGGGGAAGUGAGUACUUAAAAAGCUAGAAGAAUGUAUGCUGAAAAGCAUAUGCCAUACUACUAGAAUUCUAACAAUAUAAAUAAGGACUUUGAGAAUGUAUUGCAAAACUUAUUAGAUAUUAUAGUAUUAUAAUAAAACCUAGAGAGCUUUCUCAUAAUGUCUUCCUCUUCCUUUGCAGGAAAAAAAGACCAAAUGGCAAAGCAACCUUCUGAUCUAAAUUCAGAGUGCAACAGAGAAGGUGGACAGUUUCAGUCAACUGAAAGGCCAAGUCAGCCUCAGCAUCUUAGACCUGGGGCCCCUACCUCUAUACAAACACAGUAUCAAGGUAAUCAUUCAGGUGAGGGGGACUUCGCCCAGCAGCCCUCAGGGAGCUCUUCGCCCAGCAGCCCUCAGGGACCAUUUGCACCACCCAGUAGCCCCAGUCCAUUUGCUACCAGAUCCCCACUUUUCAUCUUUGUAAGAAGAUCCUCACUGCUGUCUAGAUCCUCCAGUGGGUAUUUCUCUUUCGACACAGACAGGAGUCCUGCGCCUAUGAGUUGCGACAAGUCCACGCAGACUCCAAGUCCCCCUUGUCAAGCCUUUAAUCAUUAUCUAAGUGCAAUGGGUAAGCAAGAUCAUGAGUCCAUUGUCUUUGUCUUAGGAGCCAAGAAAACCAUCUGGGGGUUCAGACUCUGCUUCCAGGUGGGAGUCUCCCUCAAUACGUGAAGACAUGCAGCCAGAAAUAUGGAUUGCACAGGAACUGCGGCGUAUUGGAGAUGAGUUUAAUGCUUCCUAUUGCCCAAGAAGGGGUUUCUUGGAUAAUCCAGCAGUAAACCAUCAAAUUGUUUUGCGCUUGUUACGUUAUAUCAUCCGCCUCAUUUGGAGACUGCAGUAAUGGAGACCUACAGAGAGAGACAUUCUGAGAUUGUCCAGUUGUCACCAGAAUCCAGCAAAACCAAGCAGCAGUAGUAUCCUUUCCAUACCUUGUAUAUGCAACUAACAAAUCCUCCUUUUCCUAAAGGACACCAGAUACAUUGGGAGGAGCAGUAGGACUCCGUGUUUGUGAAAAAUAUGCACAUAGACUGUCUCAUUUUGUCUGCUAUGAGAAGACAGAGGGGUUUUAAAUGGGAAUUCACUGUGAACACGUCAUGAUGGAUUUUGGAAACGGAUAUAUAAAAGCUUUGUGAAGCAGGACUUUAUGUGAGAGUGGUGUUUACGCUGGUUUUUCUUGAACUUUUAAAAGACUGAUUUGGAAAGAAGAUGAUCAAACAUUAUUGAAUGAUUUUCAUACUCCGUUUUCUGGAAACCUGUAGACUAAUAUCUGAUAUAUUCUGCAAUGGAGUUAACUGAGCCAGCUAACUUGCAGAGCUGCCUUAGUUUGUUAUAACUGUGUACAGAUGUCGUCUACCCUCCCCCCCCCCCAUCUCCCACCCCGCAAGGAGGGGUCAGAUUCAUGCUUUCCCUCCAUUCUUAGCCCCUUUCAUGGAAAAACGGCAAAAUCAUGAAUUGAAGCUGGUUGAAGAAGGGUGGAAGGAUUUGCAUCAGAACUUCAAUUACCCUGCAAAUCUCUACUAUCACCCUAAAUUCAACUGUGUGUGUGUCACACAAACAGCAUACUUCCUGCUGACUGAUUUUAAACUGCAGCCAAGUGCAACUGGCGCACUCCCCCUGAAACUUCCACCUCUUCCACCCUACCAGCAGGAAUCUCAAAGAUGACCUGAAAUUUGCAGCUUAACUGUGAAAGUGUUAUGCUUCAAAAACCAUACCAAGUUGCCUUUCUAAAAAUUUAUAUCUAAUGAGUCUGGAUACAUUUGUGUAUUAUAUAAUAUAGAAUGUUGAAGGUUGGGGAUAAUAGAACAAUAAAAUAUUUGUGGGGUAAAACAGUUCCUGAGACACUGCAAUCUUACCCAAAGUUGGAGGGUUGCAUAACUUUAGAAACUAUUUUAAACUUCACUUAAUAUUUUACUGUGACUGUUGAUAAACCCAGUUGGUAUUGCUGUUUUUUUAAUGUGUUGGAUUUUUGCUAGAGCUGGCUUUGUACUUAAGACCUAUUCUGAGAGAUGCAAGGAACUAACAAACGUUAACAGUUGAGUUACAUCCAUCUUGAGAGCAAUAGUACAAUAUUUGAAUUGGUUGUGGUGGUUCAAAAAAUCCCACAAGUGAAUGAAUAAAUAUCUAUUGGAAGCAAAAGUUGGGCCAUUUUGAAAGUUCUAGCAAAACUUCCACAUAAUUUAAAAUAAUAAAAUUAUAAGGGCACUAACUGUAUUCAUAAAUCAGACAUUCUGUGACUUGUUUAAAGAUUAACCAAAAACAGAAUGAAGUUAAAUCAAGAUUGCUAUACAGGAGUGACUCACUAACUCGGUUGUGGGAGGCAUCCAAAGUUUUAACUUACCUUUUUCUUUAAUUAGAUCUUCCUUCUACAGAACUCCCUUUACCACUUCUUGGGUCGCUGAAGUUAUUCCAGAAGGCAUCAUUCUGUGAAACCACAAAUACCAUGGAUUGCAUGACUUCUAAACUUCUGGUAUUUAGAUCAUAACAAAGUGAUGCAUUCUGUAACAACUUCAUUGACGCAAGAAGUGCCAAGAGGACUUCACAGAAAGAAAAACUUUAUUUUUAAUUUUUAAGUGUGUAUAUUGAAUGCUGCCCCCGAGCCUGUUGCGUGGGCACUGUAACCACAGAUCUAGGUUUAAACUGAAUUUUAAUAUUGGUUUUAUAGUACCUUUACACCAUGGGAAACUGCAUGACAGGUGCUUUGGGGAGCGCACAGUUCCUUCAGAUGGUGCGGUGUAUUAAUGCAGAAUUUACCCCAAUCUGGCUUCAGAAUUGUCUUCAGAAUCUGGCUUCCUUUUGUAUGUGAUGCAGAGAGCUUGCUUGAUUCAGUUUGUUUCUAUUUGCUACAGUCUACUUCAAAAUGCCGUAUUUUAUUUCUGGUUUCACCAGCACCAUAGAAAAAUAUGGUAGCUCUACUUUCAAAAUGUUGCAAUAUGUUCAUCAGCAUAUCCUGAGUGCCAUUGUAUUUUUUUUUUUUUUUUUUUAGUUUUGACAAGUAAAUUUGUAUAAUAUGUACUCUAUGCACUGACCACUGGUGCCUCUGGGGCAGGUGGAAGGGCUCCUCUAAACAUGGCUCUGUUGCCCAGUUGCAUUAAUCCACCCCCGUGAGCAGUGAAUCCAGAGGAUAAAAGCACAUGUUGGCUCUGUAGGCUAAACCUUUGUCCUAGGAGUUGGCCUCAAUUAUCAAAGCAGUGGUUUGUGUUUUUGUUUUGUUUUUUUUUUAACUUUUUAAGAGAAAUAUUGGUGACGGAAAUUGUAUCUGGAGUUUCAAGCAGAAAUUUAGUGCUGAUGGCAGAUAAUCACUUCCAUAACAGCAUGGCUUUGGCUCAUACCAAAGUACUAGGUGUAAAGGGGAGUGGGGAAUUCAUAAGGUCCUACAUGUAGUGAAUGGAGCGGGUAUAAAUGUAUGUUCAGUAACGAGUUCUCACUGCUACCAGGUGCUAGAAGUGAGAAUAAGAUGGAAGGGGGCUAUGAGAGUAUUACUUCUGUUCCAUUUUGAACAUUCCUCACCCAUCAGAGUUACACAGCCACUAAACAGAUUAGACAAAAAUCAGAUUUUCCAACGCUAGAGGUUGCAGUCCUCUUUUGCACGGAAUGGGGCCCUAGCCACUUAUUGGAACGAUGUUAGAGUUGAUCAGGUGCUUUCAGGUAUAAGAGUCUUGAAACCUCCUCAGAAGGCCACGUUGUCCCCUAGUUGUCAUGAUGAACAGAGUAGAGCUGGUUCUGAAAUUUGGACUUAUAUGUACCUUUCCGAACACACCAAAGACAUUUCUGUUUACAAUUCCCCGUGCACGCACACACACACACACUCACUCACACACACACGCUUCUACAAUUGGCGCGUGUGCACGCACAUGCGCGCUUCUACAAGUGGAGCACUUUAUUUCAGUUCUUUUCAAUAGUGCCCUUGGGAGAGUUGGCAUCAGGACUACAUAUUUUCUCCCUCUCCAUCCCACCUCUUCAUAAGGGUCUGCUGGCCCAGUGCCUGGAGACUUGGGUGCUUUCUUUGUACACUUACCUCUAGCCUGGUAGUGCAACAGGUUUGCCACCACGGCUACAGACUAGCUUACUAUAAGCGUAAUAAAUGAUUUAAAAAACAAUUCUGUGAAUUAUAUGAACAUUAAAGAACAAGAUAUUGGCACCAUGUGACUUGGACUUCUCUGCACUCUUGUUUAUCAAGAAGUUUCCUGCAGAUGUUUUUACAGUAUGUAUUUUAAAAAAAUAACUAAAACUAAUCCCAUUGUUUUUGACCAUUUAAAACUGGUUUUGUGCCUUGGCAACCUCUCUGCCCAGGUUAGAUUUGUGGGUGGUUGAGUUUUUUUCUUCAAUCUCAACAUGACAUUAAAAACAGUUAAUACUUUUGCUACGUUGUUAGUGGAGGAAUUUCUUAAUUCCAUAUAAUCCAUACUCUACCCUGCCAAAACUACUUUAUGAAGAAUUUUCUUUGGUUGUGGAGAAACCAGAUUCAAAUUUUUCUUACCAAACUUGUAUGAUAUGGUAUUAUGCUUUUUCUCCUUCAAUAAUUGUAAAUAUUUGAGUAUUUAUUAGAUUAGGGCAUCAUAUUAUUCUUAUAAUCUGAGCCAAAUGUCUGUGUGCAAUGUUUUGUUUCUUUUCUUACUAUGUCAUGUAAAGUUUUGUACAGCAUAUAAAGUAAAUUACUGUUUUUCUAAGUCUUUUUUAGAAUUGAACUUGGUAAAUACUGUAGAUUCUUUUUUCUGUGUAAUUAAUGCACUCUACUGUUCCAUAAUGCUGUAACUUGUAGAAAUGUUGUAUAUUUAUUUUCUGCUUAUUUAAGUUUCUGUAAAGUUUUUAAUGAAUUUUUACUGGUAUAUAUGGAAUUAGUGAUUGAUCAGUUUAGAGCACUGUCUUCUAAUUCAGUGCAAUCAAUAAUGUUUAGUUACUGAGUAAAAUGUUCAAAAGUGCCUAAGUGACUUAGGCUCCUAAGUCCCAGUUUCAAAAGAGGGUGUGAAGUACCUAAGUCAGUGUCACAAAGUCCAGGGGACUUGGGUUUCUGUGUGCCUAAAGUCUCUUUUGAAAAUUGUAUCCACAAUUUAAAUCCCCCAUUUUGGCCACUUUUCUUAACUUUCUGGACUCAGUAAUUCAGCACAGUACAUAAAGGCAGAGAUUUGAAGUAAAAUGUGACAUGGAGGUGCAAAGUAGGCCAAACACCAAAGCCACAUCCAGAAUCUCUGUGUAGUUCAAAGCAUUAAUUUGUUACAAAUAACUUCAUCAGUCUAAGCAAAACAUUAUUAUCCCAAGGGGCCAAGGGCAGUUUAUUCAAACAUACUAUUAAACUGAAGUGCAGUAGUCUCAGUUAAUCACUUUUUCAAGACCUAUACAACGUGCCAAUUCCCCACCUUCUCAUUCUCCACUGCCUUCAGAUUUCACCAUCCCUGUGCUCCUACUGAAUCUGGCUGCAUUGCUUCAUCCAGCUGCCAGAAUUAAAAAUUAUGCUGUAGAUUUCAGUUCGAUAACUUGAUUGUGCUUCCUGGUAACUUAAUAAUAACCCUAUUUUGGGAUAUUAAACACCUUAUCCUCAGUUUACAUAGUGCAGGAAGUGGCUGUUACCUCCUAAACAAGAAGCCCCUGCAAGUUAUUUAUAGAACUACUUUCUACUUUGAUUUGUAAACUUUUGCAUCCUGGUUUCAAGACCACUCAUUACUGUAGUAAAGCUCCUGAUCAGGUACAAACAAACACAGCACUGAUCAUGUACUGAUUAAUCACUAACUUGUUUCAUACGACCCAGCAUAUGUAGCAUUUUUAUUGCAAUUUCCCUGGCUUACUUGUGGUUUGCACUGAUGAAUUUUUGACAGGGUAAUUGCCACUUUACUUGUGCAAUACUGCUGUACAUAGCUACAGAUCUUUUUUUAAGAUGCAAUCUUUUAUGUUCUUAAUGAAUUUUAUAUAAAUAAAACUUCCAUCUAUU